rnacentral:rRNA from 1 species
UACGUAGGGUGCAAGCGUUGUCCGGAAUUAUUGGGCGUAAAGAGCUCGUAGGCGGUCUGUCGCGUCUGCUGUGAAAACUCGGGGCUUAACCCCGGGCCUGCAGUGGGUACGGGCAGACUGGAGUGCGGUAGGGGAGAAUGGAAUUCCUGGUGUAGCGGUGGAAUGCGCAGAUAUCAGGAGGAACACCGAUGGCGAAGGCAGUUCUCUGGGCCGUAACUGACGCUGAGGAGCGAAAGCGUGGGGAGCGAACAGG